AUUGAACGCUGGCGGCAGGCCUAACACAUGCAAGUCGAGCGAGCGGCGGACGGGUGAGUAAUGUCUGGGAAACUGCCUGAUGGAGGGGGAUAACUACUGGAAACGGUAGCUAAUACCGCAUACCCUCAGAUGUGCCCAGAUGGGAUUAGCUUGUAGGUGGGGUAACGGCUCACCUAGGCGACGGUCCCUAGCUGGGCUGAGAGGAUGACAAGGCACACUGGAACGGAGACACGGUCCAGACUCCUACGGGAGGCAGAAGUGGGGAAUAUUGCACAAUGGGCGCAAGCCUGAUACAGCCAUGCGGGGUGUGUGAAGAAGGCCUUCGGGUUGUAAAGCACUUUCAGCGGGGAGGCGUUACCCGCAGAAGAAGCACCGGCUAACUCCGUGCCAGCAGCCGCGGUAAUUC
rnacentral:rRNA from 1 species